UACAGAGGUCCCAAGCGUUGUUCGGAUUCACUGGGCGUAAAGGGUGCACAGGUGGGUUGGCAAGUUCGAUGUGAAAGCCCCGGGCUUAACCCGGGAAUGGCAUUGGAAACUGCUGAUCUGGAGGAUCGGAGGGGGGACUGGAAUUCUUGGUGUAGCAGUGAAAUGCGUAGAUAUCAAGAGGAACACCAGUGGCGAAGGCGAGUCCCUGGACGAUACCUGACACUGAGGCACGAAAGCCAAGGGAGCAAACAGG
rnacentral:rRNA from 1 species